rnacentral:rRNA from 1 species
UACGUAGGGGGCAAGCGUUGUCCGGAAUCAUUGGGCGUAAAGAGCGUGUAGGCGGCCCGAUAAGUCCGCUGUGAAAGUCCAGGGCUCAACCCUGGAAUGCCGGUGGAUACUGUCGGGCUCGAAUCCGGAAGAGGUGAGUGGAAUUCCUGGUGUAGCGGUGAAAUGCGCAGAUAUCAGGAGGAACACCGGUGGCGAAGGCGGCACCCUGGACCGACAUUGACGCUGAGGAGCGAAAGCUAGGGGAGCAAACGGG